ACGGGAGGCAGCAGUGAGGAAUAUUGGACAAUGGAUGGAAAUCUGAUCCAGCCAUGCCGCGUGCAGGAAGACGGCCUUAUGGGUUGUAAACUUCUUUUGCAGCAGAGCAAUAAGGCGUACGCGUACGCCGAUGAGAGUAUGUUGUGAAUAAGCAUCGGCUAACUCCGUGCCAGCAGCCGCGGUAAUACGGAGGAUGCGAGCGUUAUCCGGAUUUAUUGGGUUUAAAGGGUGCGUAGGCUGUUUUGUAAGUCAGCGGUGAAAGACCGGGGCCCAACUCCGGAAGUGCCGUUGAUACUGCAUUGCUAGAGUUCCCCUGCCGUGGGAGGAAUGAGUGGUGUAGCGGUGAAAUGCAUAGAUAUCACUCAGAACACCGAUUGCGAAGGCAUCUCACGAAGAGGCAACUGACGCUGAGGCACGAAAGCGUGGGGAUCAAACAGGAUUAGAUACCCUGGUAGUCCACGCUGUAAACGAUGAUGACUAGCUGCCGGCGAUACACUGUCGGUGGCCCAGCGAAAGCGAUAAGUCAUCCACCUGGGGAGUACGACCGCAAGGUUGAAACUCAAAGGAAUUGACGGGGGCCCGCACAAGCGGAGGAACAUGUGGUUUAAUUCGAUGAUACGCGAGGAACCUUACCCGGGCUCGAACGGCAGACGACUUAUACAGAGACGUAUAUUCCCUUCGGGGCGUCUGUCGAGGUGCUGCAUGGUUGUCGUCAGCUCGUGUCGUGAGAUGUUGGCUUAAGUGCCAUAACGAGCGCAACCCUUGUCGUUAGUUGCCAUCAAGUGAUGUUGGGGACUCUAGCGAGACUGCCACCGCAAGGUGUGAGGAGGGAGGGGAUGACGUCAAAUCAGCACGGCCCUUACGUCCGGGGCGACACACGUGUUACAAUGGCGGUUACAAAGGGCAGCCACCCGGCGACGGGGCGCUAAUCUCUAAAAUCCGCCUCAGUUCGGACUGGAGUCUGCAACUCGACUCCACGAAGCUGGAUUCGCUAGUAAUCGCGCAUCAGCCACGGCGCGGUGAAUACGUUCCCGGGCCUUGCACUCACCGCCCGUCAAG
rnacentral:rRNA from 1 species